CCUAACCAACCAGUUGGCAAGACCCAGCCCUGCUGACUGGGGAAACUUGGCAAGCCAGCGCUGCCAGGAUAGAAAAGCCACCUAUUACAGUACCUCUACUAGAAAAAAUAGCUCAAAGCGCCUGGCCUACUGAUGUCAGCAUCACCUUUACAUGCCAGGAACAAAUUACCGCAGUGGAGAGAGGGCCUAGAACCCCCUGCUGGACGCAAAUCAAUCAGAGAAGAAGACUAAUGGUAGCUCUGCGCAUUCCUCCGAGGCAGGGGCCGUGUCUGCUCUCCUCUGGGUGGGAGUGCAAGCUUUCUGCUCACAGUGGACAUGCUGCUGAUAAGACUGCCUGGUCAGCUGACUCCACAACUGGACAAGCAAGCCCCGGCCUCUUCCGGGGGGCGAGGAAGGUGGGCGUGGGGAGGUCAGCAGAAGCGGGUGCAGAGAAGCCACGCCGCUAUCGAGACUCGCUUUAGAGCUGAGAGGCAGAGAGGAAGGGGAGCGUGUGUGUGUGCGAUGUGUCCAGGGGCCGGAGGUGUGCAGUGGCAGGGAAUAAAGGAAAGGCGCCAACUCUCCAGCCCGGGACCAGAGCUGGGGCGGGGGGAGGGGGUGGAGAAUAUAAGAAACACUCCCGCGGACGAGUUUCUGAGCAGGGAAGUGGACCGGGAACAGCGCAUUUCCUGCUUCGCCUGUGCAAACCCCAGGCGGGGCCAAACGGGAACAGGGUUACGGUCGAGGAGUCGGCCGCUGCCAGGGCGGGGUUCGGGGCGGCCUCGACGGGGUCCGCCGACCAGGGCGGAAUGCGGGAGGGGGCGGUGGGAGCGGAACGCACGCCUCCCAUCCUCGAGUCGAGCGAGCGGCCCCAAAGCCCCUUUCGGCGCCGCACUUUUUCGGCCCCGCGGCAGAGGCGGGCUCACCAAGGGGCAGGGGCGCGCGCAAGGUGCGGAGUCCUUGGGGGUCCGACAUUUGGGGGCCUCUCGGGUCGGGGUCGGGGGCUGCGCGACGCCAGAGCGGGUGGCCGCUCUCUCCCGGGUCCCUCCUUCCUCCCCACGUCUCCCAUCCCACCUUCGACCUGGCAUCCUGGGCCCGCGGGGACUGGCCCGGGACGGGGAGAAGGAGCGCGGCCCUACCUGGGAGGUGCGGAGCCCCGAGCGCACUGCGUGCCGCGCGCCGCCUUCCGCUCGAUUCCCGGAGGCCCCGCGGGUGCGCGGCUUAUAAACGCUAAGGCCUUAUUGUUGUUCUUUGUUCCGGGGAUACCAUUG
rnacentral:lncRNA from 1 species